rnacentral:lncRNA from 1 species
UUAAAAUGACCUCUGUCAAUUUUUAAUCAAAUAUUGAUCAGGAACUACAGAAUUUUCGACUACAGGGCGUCACACUACAGAGAACAGAACGACAGUCACAACGUCCCAAAAUACGACAGACUGAAAAUUUGCUGUUGUGUUUUUCAAGUGGGUGAGACGUCUAUACGGCGUAUACGCAGAUUGCUGUCCUCUCUAUUAAAAGCAACGUUGCUGAAACACGUCGUACAAGACGCUGUACGACUCGCAUAACAUCGAAUUACAACGCCGUCACCAUCCAUGAGAUCACCGAAAGCACGGUCGCUUUCGGUGGCGGCCUACAGAUGGCAGCACAGGUAGCGCCGGUAAAGUUACAGGUGAUAUUAUUUUGCCGUCCUCAGUUGUCGCCACAUGUGAGUGCUUGCUGCAUUGACGCCGUCCGAUGUAGUUGUUUAAUCGUGUGUACGCUGUGCCGAGAGAAAUUGUGGUGCAUUUUGUAUGCAUUGAGAAUCACAAAACCCCUGGGACCGCGUAAUGUAGCCCGCAGUAUCCUUCGUGUGGUGCGCCGAUGUCGAAGAUAUGACCCUUCGCGCUUCCUUUGUUCCGGGCUCAUGAACAGGAUCUCCUCCUCUGGCACUGUCGCAUCGUAUCGCGCUGUACGGAAGAAUUUGGUGAAAGUUGUGCUCUUACGUCCUGUAGUUGAUCCGCAAUUCAACAGUGUGUGCGCCGGAAGGACCGUUGGUGCAGUCGAUGCCGCGGCACCUGUGACGCUAAAAGGAGCGUUUUCCGAGUACGCCUAGAAAGGGAUGGCAAGAUUUUGUGAACCAGAGGCACCUCCACAUAUGCACCUGCGGCACUUCUGCAGCCUCAACAGCACGGAAAAGUACCUGAUGUGCAUGCUGUGACAAGCUGCUGUAGGUAUGGCUGGACCUGGAGAAGAAGUGUAAGCAGACCAUGCAAUGUUGCUGAUCUGCGCUGAUCUCCACAUCCAAGUUGGUCCCGCGACAGUUGGGCACCAUUGUGCCUUGCUUCAUUGACAAGGUGAUAUAAUAUGGUGAGCUUGUACUUCAAUAUCGGUAUUGAAAAUUAUGUUAAGGAAAAAAGACAAGGAUUGGUCUUUAUGAUAGAUACACUCAUGUUCUUUCUUUAAGGUGUUCUUUUGACACUGUUCUGCA